rnacentral:rRNA from 1 species
UACGUAGGGUGCAAGCGUUAAUCGGAAUUACUGGGCGUAAAGAGCGUGUAGGCGGCCAAACAGGUCCGUUGUGAAAACUGGAGGCUCAACCUCCAGACGUCGACGGAAACCGUAUGGCUAGAGUCCGGAAGAGGAGAGUGGAAUUCCUGGUGUAGCGGUGAAAUGCGCAGAUAUCAGGAAGAACACCUAUUGCGAAGGCAGCUCGCUGGGACGUUACUGACGCUGAGACGCGAAAGCGUGGGGAGCAAACAGG